GAAACCCACGCUGAGGGAAGAAUCAUGGGAAAGAGGGUAGAGACGGGGUUCCACCGUGUUAGCCAGGAUGGUCUCGAUUUCCUGACCUCGUCAUCCUCCCGCCUUGGCCUCCCAAAGUGCUGGGAUUACAGGCUUGAGCCACCGCGCCCCGCUCUUUCGUGUUCCAAAGGCUUUUUAAAUAAACUUCCACUCCUGUCCUGGAUUCUGCUUUAUGGCCCUCAGUCGAAUUCUUUCUUCUGAGGAGGCAAGGACUGAAGUUGCUUCUGACCAGUACAGGUUGGGAAGGAGAAAGUCACUUGACUCACAGGCCAACUGCUAUGGACUGAAUUGUGUCUUCCCCUCAUUAAUAUGUUGAAACCCUAUCCUCCCUCCAAUGUGAUGGUAUUUGCAGAUGGGGCUUUUGGGAAGUAAUGAAGUUUAGAUGAGGCAUGAGGGCUGGAUGGAUAUGAUCAGAUGAGUGCCCAAAGAAGAGACACCAGAGAGCUAGCUUCUUCUUUCUCUUUCCACCUUUACACACUGAGAAAAGGCCAAGUGAGCACACACCAAGAAGGCAGCCAUCUGCAAACCCAAGGAGAGAGUCCUCACUAGACACCCUGCUGGUACCUUGAUCUUGGACUUCUAGCCUCCAGAACUUUCCCUGACUCUUAGAGCCGUGGAGCAGUGUGUGUCAUGUGCUGCACACCCAGGCUGGAACAGCCUGUCUCCAGGAGAAAACGAAUACAGCAGGGAUGACUUCCACCAGCUCCACUUUGCAGCUCUGAGGUGUAUUAAAAAUGAACCUAGAGCCCCACCAAAUGAAUCCGCUGGCACGUGGACCUCAGAUGGGGGAAACUGAGGACUGAAUUCUGACCACCCUCCUUUGUUCUAAAUUUCUUCCUGAAGGACCUGGAAGAAGUCAUGCCACGGGCCAGACCUUAACAUUCCUUUCGGCUUACCCCAGGAUUUCAGACAAAGCUUCACUUUCCUAACCAGUCACAAAUCAGAGAAUUUUUGAUUCCACCUAUGACCUGUGAGCUCCUGCUUCAAGAUAUUCCACCUUUUUUAGGCCAAACCAAUGUAUAACCUCCAAGUGUCGAUUUACACUUUCGACUGUAACUUCUGCUUUCCUGAGAUUUACCCCUGCCUUUAAAAACCCUUGCUUGUAAUCCCUCAGGGAGGCCGUGUAUUUAUUAAUCAUGAGCUGCCCAAUUCUCCUUGCUUGGUGCCCUGCAAAUAAACACCCUCUUUUCUCCCACUGCA
rnacentral:lncRNA from 10 species